CUUGCCUGCUGCCAUAUAAAACAUGCCUUUCACCUUCUACCAUGAUUGUGAGGCCUCCACAGCCACAUGGAACACUGACUAUAAAGAAUAUAUGACUGCAGAAAGGACGACAACCCAAAUCUGUCACAGACCCCAAGACUGCUGAUGCCUCAGUCAGGAAAGGACUUCACACAUGUUUAACGGGCAUUGAUGUAACCAUUGGGCAGAGGAGUCUCACCCCAUGGACACCUCCACCAUAGGUCCAUGGUGAGUACUACCAGACGACUGCUGAUGUUCCCUCAUGGUCCAAAAGCUCUUGAGUCAACAUGAAGUGAAUGCUGCCUGGUCUGGGACUCACCCUUCAAGGAAUUGGGUUUCUCUCUGGGUCACAGCAGGUCCAGAAAUGCUGUCCAAAAGCCAAGCCUUGGAACUGGGGACCCCAAGAGCCCAUUUGGUGCUCUACUCCUCUGUGGCUGACCUAGUACCUAAGGUGCAAGUCAAUGUUCCAUUUACUUUUCACUUCACUUUUCUCAAGGGGAAGGAGUAUUGCCCCAUAGCAACCACAGCUGGGGAUGUGCUAAUUCUCACCUUAAGCCAGCAAGUCUGAGAAUCUCACCCAAAGCCCUCGACAUAGUACCUGGGCAUCACUGUUGGUUAUUCGGAGCCCAUGGGCUCUUCAGUUAGCAGGUGAUAAACCCUGCCAGGACUGGGUCCUUUCCUUCAUGGCAGCAGGGUCCGUUCUGGCCUAGGGGUGUCCAGAGAUGUCAUUUGGGAGUUAGGUCCUGGAAAGAGGGCAUUGUGACUCUGACUGAUGCCCUAUUUUGCCAGGGCUCAGCUGGUAUCCAAGAUGCAAGACAAAGUCCUCCUCACUCUUUCCUCUCCUCUCCUCAAGCAGAAGGAAGGUGUCUCUUUUGGUGCUGAGAGCUACGCAGCUUGGAGUUUCAGAAAGAGUGAUGCCAGCACUACUUUAGCUGCCCUCACUGGCAUCUUGGUAGAUCGCGUGCCCCCAUAAGUCUACUGUCUCUGGGCCAAGUUCAGCACUAGAACUCAUGUAAAAGUUGCAGCCCUGGUGGCCUAGACUGCCUUUCAAGUUUAUUAGAACUCCAGAGCACAUUAUCCCACUGUGGUGAGGCUUGCAGAAACUCAAGGUCUGACUCCUGGGAUCAGUGAUUCCCCUCUGGCCAGCGCUGGUUUAAAUCCUCCCUCCAUAGUUGGGUGUCAGUUGAGUUUGGUCUGGUUUUCCUUUCUGCUAUAACAGGACAGUACUGAGUUCAAUGCCCCACAAUUGCUGUUCUUUCCCUCAUCCAGUGCCCAGAAACACUAUCCGCACCACUCCAUCACUGCUGAGGGUUGGGGAAGGGAUGGUAUCAGCAAUUCAAGACUGUUUUCUCUACCUCUUCAAUACUUAUUUCAGCAAUAUAAAGUUAAAACCAGAUAUUGUGAGAGCUCACCUGAUUUUUAGUUCUCAUGAAAGUGCUUUUCUUGUGUAGAUAUUGUUAAAUAGGUGUCUUUGUCAGUGGGGCAGCAGGCAGUGUCAGAGGAGCCUUCUAUUUUGUCAUCUUGCUCCACCUCCUAGUGCCAUUUAUUGAGAAGCAUACACUUAUUAGGUCCUUCAGGUAGGUUAUACUUAAUCAUUUUUUAAAGUAAAGUAUGCUUAUAUUUGCUAUUACAUUUUUAAAAUUAUUUUUAGAUUCAGGGGUUACAUGUGCAGGUUUGUUACAUGGACAGACAUAUUGUGUAAGUUAUGCCUAAUUUUUGCAACAACUUUUAUAGUUUGGAAUUCUUUACUCACAUGUCACUGAUGAGGAAACUGAAACUCCCAGGGUUUAAGUAACUCCCCUAAGAUUUCACAGCUAGAGAAAGUAGAUAAAUUCUUGACUCUUAAGCCCUUAGUUUUCCUACUCUACCAACAGUUUCUCUGAACUCAUUCCAUAGGACCUUCAACCCAUGAGAUGCACUCACAUCUUGAGUGCAGCAGAUGACACAGUAAGAGAUGCAGCAUAGCAAACCUUCAGCAAGCAUUUAUUGGGUUCCUAUUAAGGCCAGGAACUGCACUAGAUGCUAGACAAGCAAGAGACAAGAGGCAGAGGCUAGCCUUGCCUGUCUUGUGGGGAGCCUAGAAUACAUGAUCAGAACAGAUGGGGAGAAAAGAGGGACUCAGCAUCAUCUCGCACAUCAUAGACCUGCUUUCCUACAAGAUGUCAAAAGCAUCAGUAGAAGGUUAAGUUAUGGAAGAUAAGAUUAGUUCACAAACUAUGCCCAAUUUCAAGCCCUGGAAGCAAAAAGUGUGAGAGAAGAAAUAGCAGAAUGUAAUACUAAUAAUGACAGCAAUCAAAAUUUCCUGAGUGCUUACUAGGUGCCAAACACUCUUUUAUACACUUAACAUAUGUUAAUUUAUUUAAUAUAAAAAGCAUCAGAGCUAUUUGUAGACUAAGAGCAGUAAAUCAUGUUGCAUAAAAAAUGAUUAUCUUAUGAAAUCUCUAUGUCAUUAUUAACCUCAAUAAACUGAAGUCCUUGGU
rnacentral:lncRNA from 1 species